rnacentral:rRNA from 1 species
UACGUAGGGGGCGAGCGUUGUCCGGAAUUAUUGGGCGUAAAGAGCGUGUAGGCGGUUCGGUAAGUCUGCCGUGAAAACCUGGGGCUCAACCCCGGGCGUGCGGUGGAUACUGCCGGGCUAGAGGGUGGUAGAGGCGAGUGGAAUUCCCGGUGUAGCGGUGAAAUGCGCAGAUAUCGGGAGGAACACCUAUGGCGAAGGCAGCUCGCUGGGACGUUACUGACGCUGAGACGCGAAAGCGUGGGGAGGCAAACAG